GGGGUAUGGCUCAGUUGGUAGAGCGCCGCGUUCGCAACGCGGAGGCCAGGGGUUCGAAUCCCCUUACCUCC
rnacentral:tRNA from 2 species